AGAGUUUGAUCCUGGCUCAGGAUGAACGCUAGCGACAGGCUUAACACAUGCAAGUCGAGGGGCAGCGGGGGCGAAGCUUGCUUCGCCUGCCGGCGACCGGCGCACGGGUGAGUAACACGUAUGCGACCUGCCCCCCGCAGGGGGAUAACCGGGAGAAAUCCCGACUAAUACCGCGUAACGCCGCUGGGCUGCAUGGCCCGGCGGCCAAAGGAAGCGAUUCCGGCGGGGGAUGGGCAUGCGGCGCAUUAGCUAGUCGGCGGGGUAACGGCCCACCGAGGCGACGAUGCGUAGGGGUUCUGAGAGGAAGGUCCCCCACACUGGUACUGAGACACGGACCAGACUCCUACGGGAGGCAGCAGUGAGGAAUAUUGGUCAAUGGGCGGGAGCCUGAACCAGCCAAGUCGCGUGAGGGAAGACGGUCCUACGGAUUGUAAACCUCUUUUGCCGGGGAGCAACGGGGUCCUUGCGAGGGCCCGAUGAGAGUACCCGGAGAAAAAGCAUCGGCUAACUCCGUGCCAGCAGCCGCGGUAAUACGGAGGAUGCGAGCGUUAUCCGGAUUUAUUGGGUUUAAAGGGUGCGUAGGCGGGCUGUUAAGUCAGCGGUCAAAUGUCGGGGCUCAACCCCGGCCUGCCGUUGAAACUGGCGGCCUCGAGUGGGCGAGAAGUAUGCGGAAUGCGUGGUGUAGCGGUGAAAUGCAUAGAUAUCACGCAGAACUCCGAUUGCGAAGGCAGCAUACCGGCGCCCGACUGACGCUGAGGCACGAAAGCGUGGGUACCGAACAGGAUUAGAUACCCUGGUAGUCCACGCAGUAAACGAUGAAUGCUAGCUGUCCGGUUCUACGGGACUGGGUGGCACAGCGAAAGCGUUAAGCAUUCCACCUGGGGAGUACGCCGGCAACGGUGAAACUCAAAGGAAUUGACGGGGGCCCGCACAAGCGGAGGAACAUGUGGUUUAAUUCGAUGAUACGCGAGGAACCUUACCCGGGCUCAAACGCCAAAGGACAGCCGCUGAAAGGCGGCCUCCCUCCGGGGUCUUUGGCGAGGUGCUGCAUGGUUGUCGUCAGCUCGUGCCGUGAGGUGUCGGCUUAAGUGCCAUAACGAGCGCAACCCCCAUCGACAGUUGCUAACGGGUGAUGCCGAGGACUCUGUCGAGACUGCCGGCGCAAGCUGCGAGGAAGGCGGGGAUGACGUCAAAUCAGCACGGCCCUUACGUCCGGGGCGACACACGUGUUACAAUGGCCGGUACAGCGGGAUGCCAGGGCGCGAGCCCGAGCGGAACCCGAAAACCGGUCUCAGUUCGGAUUGGAGUCUGCAACCCGACUCCAUGAAGCUGGAUUCGCUAGUAAUCGCGCAUCAGCCACGGCGCGGUGAAUACGUUCCCGGGCCUUGUACUCACCGCCCGUCA
rnacentral:rRNA from 1 species